rnacentral:lncRNA from 1 species
AUCACCUCUGCACACUGGGAUGUCAACUCCAAGCUGUCCUAGCCAUCUCUAGUCUCGUGAAUUCCAAGCUCCAGCACCGAAGACUUCUUCAAUCACACUGGACGUCGGAAGAAAAUCUUCAUCCUUGGGGCAGGUCAAACAACCAACAUCCCAUUCUUUGGAACUACAGGGCUCUAAAAAAAGUUCAUUACCAGUACUGCUGCUCAUACUACUAAGGUUGCUAGUUAUAUGUUUUGUAUUUUGAUUUCCGCUUAUGUCAGAAAGGACUUGGUCAAGUGGCUGAUGUGCUUGAUCUGAACUGCAGUUAUCAGGCAUGUCAAUCGGAGGCAUGUCUGACUCUUUACUGACACACUUACUGCCAUCAAGGUUCAGCCUUAUAUUAUCUUCUGAAGCUUCCUCAGCAU